rnacentral:rRNA from 1 species
UACGUAGGGGGCAAGCGUUUGUCCGGAAUCACUGGGCGUAAAGCGCGCGCAGGCGGCUAUCUACGUCCGGGGUGAAAGCCCAGAGCUCAACUCUGGGACUGCCUUGGAUACGGGAUAGCUUGAGGAUCGGAGAGGCAAGGGGAAUUCCAACGUGUAGCGGUGAAAAUGCGUAGAGAGUGUGGAGGAACACCUGUGGCGAAGGCGCCUUGCUGGCCGAAUUUCUGGACGCUGAGGCGACGAAAGACCGUGGGGAGCAAACAGG